AACAAUUGUUGGGUUUUAUUCUGGCUCCGAGUGAACGCUGGUAACAUAUUUUAACACAUGCAAAUCUAACGGGAAUUUAAUAAUAAUUCCAGUGGUGACCUGGUGAGUAAUGUAAGAGAAUUGAAGUGUAGGUUAGGUUAAAUACCUAAUACAUUUGAAAGAUUUAUAUCGCCUACAGUAAAGCUCUUAUAGGAUUAGGUAGUUGUUGUAGUAAUUAUUCAACAAGCCGACGAUGCUUAGCUGGUUUGAGAGAAUGAUCAGCCACAUUGGGACUGAAAAGGGCCCGAGUCUUUUAGAGGGCAGCAGUGGAGAAUAUUUGACAAUGGGCGAAAGCUUGAUCGAGUAAUGUUACGUGGGUGAUCAGAAGGCUUAAUUGCCGUAAAACUCGUUUCGUCAAGGAUUAUAAUGCAAUCGUACUUGAAGGAGAAGCCCUGACUAACUUCGUGCCAGCAGUCGCGGUAAUACGGAGAGGGCAAGUGUUAUUCGCAUUGACUGGGUGUAAAGGGUGCGUAGGUGGCUUAUUAAGUUUCAAGGUAAAAAUUAAACAUAGAGUUUAAUAUCCUUUUAAUACUAAUAGGCUAGAGUUUAUUGGGAGAUAGCUGAACAUUAAGUGUAAAGGUGAAAUUUUUCGAUAUUUAAAGGACAUGCAAUAGGCGAAGGCUGCUAUCUACUUUAUACUGACACUGAGGCACAAAAGCAUAGGGAUCAAACAGGAUUAGAGACCCUGGUAGUCUAUGCCCUGACCGAUGAAUAUUGAUUAUGUUCGAUACGUAAUUAAGCUAACGCGUAAAUAUUCCACCUGAGUACUACGACCGCAAGGUUAAAACUCAAAGAAACUGACGGAAGAUUGUAUAAGCGGUGGAGUAUGUGGUUUAAUUUGAUAUAACGCAAAAAAUCUUACCAACCCUUGAAUACAAAUGCGUUUGGCUCCUGUCCAGAAAAUUCUGGACAUGAAAAAGCGCCGCGAUAUAGGUUUUUUUUAAAACCUAUUAGUUUGUACAGGUGCUGCAUGGUUGUCGGCAGUUCGUGUUGAGAAAUGUUUUGUUAAUUCAUUUAACGGACGUAACCUUCGACUGUAUUUCUUAAAUGCAUACAGUGACGUUAAUUUUAAAAUUAAUUGAAAGGAGAGGAAGUCAAAUCAUUAUGGCCUAUAUAGGUUGGGCUACACACGUACUACAAUGGUAAUUACAAUGUGAAGCAAAAACGCGAGUUAUAGCUAAUCAUUAAAAAUUAACCUUAGUUCGAAUUGUUCUCUGAAAGUCGAGAACAUGAAGUAGGAAUCGCUAGUAAUCGCAAAAUAGAACGUUGCGGUGAAUACAUUCUCAAUCUUUGUACACACCGCCCGUCACGCCAUGGGAAUUGGUUUGGUUAGAAAUUUUAUAGGGUCGAGUUUUAUGUAUAUUUGAUUUUUUUCUUUAUACGUAUACUUGACUACUAGAGGUGACAACUAGGUCAAGGACUGGGGUGAAGUCGUAACAAGGUAGCGGUAGGGGAACC
rnacentral:rRNA from 1 species